GACAGAGGGGGCAAGCGUUGUCCGGACUGACUGGGCGUAAAGCGCACGCAGGUGGUGCGCCAAGUGGUGUGUGAAAGCGACCGGCUCAACUGGUCGAGGCCAUGCCAAACUGGCGGACUAGAGCGAUGCAGAGGUCGCUGGAAUUGCCGGUGUAGUGGUGAAAUGCGUAGAGAUCGGCAGGAACACCCAGGGCGGAAACAGGCGACUGGGCAUUGGCUGACACUGAGGUGCGAAAGCGUGGGGAGCGAACUGG
rnacentral:rRNA from 1 species